AUAGUAUGAUCUAUGUAACGGCCUUGGUCGAUACAUUUGGGACUUCGGGCCCAAAAUUUCAGACAUGUCAAUUACGCUCAGUAACCAGAUUUCUUAUUUUCGCUGUUUCGUCAUUAAUUCACGUUUUAUAUAUCUAACAUCAGACUAGUGUUAUCUUUAGAUCAAAACAAUGAAAAUCUUAAAUUAUUAACCUUAUUUAUCGAAUGAUUGACGCAAAAUAUUUCGGUAUUACCUUUGCCAAAUGUUUCAGAACGAACUUGUUUAAUUAUUUGAACCCUACUGUAACUCAGAGCAGUAAAACAAAGUGACCUCACUGCUAAAGCGUGACAUAAACGAGGAUACACUGUGAUACCCGUUCAUCGAGUAUCUGCAACACCGCAACCUAAACAAGCGAAGAGCAACGUUGCCACUUUUAUUCGUGACCGUUAGCGUUAGCAUACACGAGUCAUUCGGGUAGGGUCAAAUUUUGAUUUGGACUGGUCAAAUUUUGGAAUUCAACCACUUCCGAGACAGACAUCGUACGUUAAGUUAUCGAUUAUUAAUAUUAUUUCAGGAAAAGUGGUAAGAAUUAUCGACUUAUAUUGAUAGUGUGGUUCGCACUUCAGAAAUUUCAUUAACGCAUGCGCCGUGAUGCAAAAUACCUUCAGAACUUGUAAUAUUAGCUGUAAUAUGCAAAAUACUCCUGUGUAGAGUCAAAAAUACACUAUUUUAGUAAAUAUA